rnacentral:rRNA from 1 species
GAUGAACGCUGGCGGCGUGCCUAAUACAUGCAAGUCGAGCGAACAGACGAGGAGCUUGCUCCUCUGACGUUAGCGGCGGACGGGUGAGUAACACGUGGAUAACCUACCUAUAAGACUGGGAUAACUUCGGGAAACCGGAGCUAAUACCGGAUAAUAUAUUGAACCGCAUGGUUCAAUAGUGAAAGACAGUUUUGCUGUCACUUAUAGAUGGAUCCGCGCCGCAUUAGCUAGUUGGUAAGGUAACGGCUUACCAAGGCAACGAUGCGUAGCCGACCUGAGAGGGUGAUCGGCCACACGGGAACUGAGACACGGUCCAGACUCCUACGGGAGGCAGCAGUAGGGAAUCUUCCGCAAUGGGCGAAAGCCUGACGGAGCAACGCCGCGUGAGUGAUGAAGGUCUUCGGAUCGUAAAACUCUGUUAUUAGGGAAGAACAAAUGUGUAAGUAACUAUGCACGUCUUGACGGUACCUAAUCAGAAAGCCACGGCUAACUACGUG